rnacentral:misc_RNA from 1 species
GGUGAAAAAAAAUAUAUUUCUUUUUUGGGUAAGUGGGGAUGGCAGCUUAUGUGUAAAGGGCGUCACACACGGCGAAGAUACUAUAAUAUUUUAUCUUAACAUACAAUAUCGCUCGGUAUACAUUUUGUAUGAACUAUCACACAUGGUUAAGAUAAUAUAUAUUUUCAUAUUACAGUAUCUUUACCAUAUCGAGCGAUAUGGAAAUAUUAUAUUAUGAUACGAGAUAUGUAUUAACAUGGUAAAAUAUUAUCUUAAUAUGCGAAAUGUUCUAACAUGGUAUCUUAAGACACAAAAUAUAUCGCAAUAUCCUUACACAGAGUGUGCCCAGAAUGCGGGGUGCGGGGUGUGUUUGUGUCGCUUUUUCGUAUUUUGUUUCUUGAUAUCGUCAUUAAUCAAAUUAUGAAUAGUAAUAAAAAUCUCCUUUGAUUUCUUAAAACAUAUUUGAAACAUUUUUGACGAUAGUUCUUCGUAGAGUUUGUACUCACCGCGGUCUUUCUUAUACUUAAUAUGAUUUUCUACCCAAAUCGUUCGGCACUUAGAACGUGCGGCAGAAAUUUUUAAGUCAUAUUCGAAAUCAGAAUUAUCAUUCGAUGAGCUAUCUAAUAAAUUGAAUAGUACGGCCGUAUUAUAUUAUUAGAUCACCAUGUAUAUAUAUGCAGUGAAGAAAGGUACGUGUCGACUCCUCCCCUAGUGACGAAAGAAUGAUUCGAGCGAAUAUAUUAUCGUAACUUAACCGUGUGUGAUACAUUAAGAUAGUAUAAUAUUUUAUAUCUAGGUAUCUUAAGAUAAAAUAUUAUAGUAUCUUCACCGUGUGUGACGCCCUUAAGACUUGAUCGUUGUUUUGAGGUAAAUUAAAUCAGUUAAAAAUUUAUUAAUCUCACAGUUUCAAUUACCGCUCGAAAUAGAUAUUUCUAUUUGUACGAAUAUUUGUUUCUGGUUGUCUGUCCUAGUGGGUCUCCCCACCGUGACUCGGAGAGCAUGUCUGUUGGUCUCGGUUGUUAUCAUAAACACCCGAAAGCGAUCGUUGCUCAUAGUAGGGAUUUUAUCCGCCAACCCGCAGUGGAGCACCGUGAUGGAUUAAGCCCCGACACUUCCUUCAUGGAGAAAGCGGCCUAUUGCCAAGUUGGAUGUUACAGGCUUAUUUUGACUGGAACAACUUGACUUUAACAAGGCGUCGAACCCCUUAAAUAUAAAAUUAUGGCAGCUGAUUACCGUUUCAGUGAUAUUUUAUAUGUAAUAGUACAAAACAAUAUAAAUAAAUAUAAUAAUAAUUAUUUAUGUGUUUAAAUGUGCUGUGAGAUUUUUUUCUUUUUUUUAAAGUACAGAUUAAUAAUAAUGUUUGUAUUUAUCUUAUUUUUUUAAUGAUAAAAAAAAAUUGUUGCCAUUUUUUAUUCCAGAUUUUAUAUGUAUAUUAAAAAAAAUCAGAAUGUUUUUUAUUCAAUAAGUUUAUGUAUAGUUUUGUUUUAUUUUAUUUUUUUGCAUAAUUUUAAUUAUAUUUAUAAAAAUAUUAAAAUAUGGUUACCAUUUAUUUCAAUAUCGCAUUUUUGAAUCAAAAUCGACACGGCGACUUUACUCGGGGAAAUUAUUUUUUUUUAUACAUUGCUGUGUCGAUUUCGAUGAAGCUAAUAUUAUCGUGUAAACGUUUAGGAAAGUGAUAUUGUAUCGAAUUUACGUGGCAAUUAUUAAUAUGAAGUGUAGUGUAAGUUUUAACUGUCAUUUUUUUACGUCACAAUCGGUUAAUAUUCAUUUUUAUGUAUCUAGAUGUAGACCUUGCCAAAGUUUUUAUUAUUUUUGUAUGUGCACGAGAUGGACUUGUAUUAAUGUUAACUUUGUGAUUGUUACUUUUAACUAAAAAUCUCUUUAGUAUAUGAGUUAUAAAAGAAAUAUAUAUAAUUAUACAUAUGGAUUACAAGCGAGAGGUAUUCAAUUAAAUCACAUAUACUACAUACAGUUUCUAAGCAUUUCACUAAGGUAGGGUACAGGAGCCUAUGGCAGUCCACUGCUGGACAUAGGCCUCCCCAAGUUCGCGCCAGAUAUCCCGGUCUUCCGCAAUCCUCAUCCAGCCUACACCGGCAAUCUUACGUAGAUCGUCGGUCCAACGGGCCGGAGGACGUCCCACACUGCGUUUGCCAACAGGAGGAUAUAUCCUGCUCAAAAUCUGAAGCAGCCCGACUGGGGCAGUACCUCGACCUUACAGAAGAUCACAGCCAAAUAGUUCUACUUUCAAACAGUGUCGUGUCCCUGUGGUGUGUAAGCUGACCAGAACUCCUGGGGAGGGUCGGUCCUGGGAGGUUUAAUCGUACUUAUUGUAUACAGAAAAAGAUACUGGCUGGUGUGCAUCGUUGCUGCGUUUUAUUAGUAGUUAAUAGCAAUUUUUCCACCUCUUUCAGCCUUUUAUUUUGCAACGGAAGGUAGCCUCUGUCAACUCCCAAGGCCUACUUCAUCUCUGUACGAAAUUUCAUUAAAAUCUGUCGAGUGGUUCAGUCGUAAAAUAUAUUUACGCUAGGGCCAAAAGGGCCAUGGCCCGGGGCGGCAUUCUGCGAGGGGCAACGCAAGCCAAGCAUUGUUUACUGGGAUUGUGAAAAAAUAAUCGAUUUCAAGCAAAGGCCCUAAGACAAAAAAAAAAAUGUCAGCCGCAACGUUUAAAAAUAAAUCGAUCGAUAAUUUUAUUCAUGUUAUUAUGGGGCGGCAAAUCUUAAAAUACGCUACAGUGUAUAUGUUGGUUUAAUUUUAACGCCUCUCGCUUAUAACUAUUUCGUGUAAAUUUUUUUUUUAUUAUUCAUGUCAAAAUCUGUUUUUUUUUUCUUUUUUUUGUUAUUUAAAAGGUCAAUUUUUUUUGUUUUGUUAAAUUGGUUUUAAAAGUCUGUAUUUUCGUGGGCAUUAUAUAUAUAUAGAGAGAUAGAGAUAGCUAUGUAUUUGUUAUUACGUAAAUAUAAGGUCUUCGACUCCUAUGGGUCCUUCAAAUGGGGAGGGGGGAUUCUGUAGGUGUAAUAGUUCACGUUUCGCGCGAAAAAUAAAUCCUAGCCCAUUUUUAAAUUUGACUUUGUCUUAAUACUAUUUUUUCAAUACUAUUUUUCUGAGUUCUAAAAAACGUCGAUUAAGUGAAUUAAAAGAAAAAAGAACCGCAUGGAAACGAAUUAUUUUUGUCAUCAGUCAGUCAGCCAGACCAUAGAUAUGUUUUUAUUGUAAAUUAUCGCUGUCUUAACGGAAUGUAUCAUGCGGGAUGAGUCUAUCGAAACUAUUUACACAAAAUCUCACCACUGAAAUAAUAAGGAGUCGAACAACUUAUGUUUAUGUUUUAGUCAUCCGUGCAUGUAAACUAUGUUACAGUUUUUUUUUAAUAUAUAUUAAUUUAUAUAGUUUUGAUUUAUUUUGGUGCUAUAAUAUACUUUGAAGAAUUUUCUUUGCAUUUUUUCCUUUUCAAUAAACGAGUAAAUUUUUUAUAUGGAAAUUGUUUCGUGACGCCCAUUUAGAGAAAACGCUAGUUCGUCGAAGGAAAAACAUUUUUUUUUCUUAGUUUUAAAACUAUAUUUAGAUAGUUUUUAAGAUUUUUGAAAAGCGGGAUGGUGGAUAUGUAACGGAGCGCGCGAAAAAAAAUUCGAUUAAAAAAUCUUUAUUUCGAAUUUUUUUUUCAAUUUUAUUAUAGUUUUUUCGAUAUCAAAAUUAUAAUGAGAAAAAUAUGAUAUUUUUUAUCUGUGCGCUCUUUUAGACCAAAGCUGUGAAUAUUGUAAAAAAAGAUUAGGAGAUAUGCUUAGCGGUACUAUAGUUGACACUUUGAAAAAAAAACAAUGUGAUACGUUCUCACCAAGCAUUAUAAAAAUAUGUAUUAAAAAUAUUAUUUUUUUUAAUUAAAAAAAUAAAAACCCUAAGUGGAACUAUAAUAUCGAAUAUGCAGAUUUUUGUGAAUAUCCCAAAAAAAAAGAAAAAAAAAAUUUAUCUAAAAAACUUUAUUUUUAGUACUUAAACAUUUCUUUUGUACUAUAACCCGGAUUUUUUUGGGAUUUUUACAAAAAAUUAAAAAUGAAAUCAACAAAUUUUUAGAUUUUAAGGAAGAGAGUUAAUUGCUAGGUACAUUUUCUUUAUAUAUUUUUUACAGCAGUGGCCAUUUCAAAUAAAAUAAGUGGAAAAUCGUAUUUUGGUUUUAUUGUAUUUCCUGUUUUAAUUUUUUUUGUGAAAUAUGCGUUUUUUUUUUUAAUUUCUUGUAUACAAAACCCUGCCCUGACAAUAAACAUCAAACACAAAAAAAAAUUUACGAUUCGGUGCAGUCGUUCGAAAGCUAUGGUACA